AGUGAACGCUGGCGGUAGGCCUAACACAUGCAAGUCGAACGGCAGCACAGUAAGAGCUUGCUCUUACGGGUGGCGAGUGGCGGACGGGUGAGGAAUACAUCGGAAUCUACUUUUUCGUGGGGGAUAACGUAGGGAAACUUACGCUAAUACCGCAUACGACCUACGGGUGAAAGCAGGGGAUCUUCGGACCUUGCGCGAUUGAAUGAGCCGAUGUCGGAUUAGCUAGUUGGCGGGGUAAAGGCCCACCAAGGCGACGAUCCUUAGCUGGUCUGAGAGGAUGAUCAGCCACAAUGGAACUGAGACACGGUCCAGACUCCUACGGGAAGGAGGAGUGGGGAAUAUUGGACAAUGGGCGCAAGCCUGAUCCAGCCAUACCGCGUGGGUGAAGAAGGCCUUCGGGUCGUAAAGCCCUUUUGUUGGGAAAGAAAAGCAGCAGGUUAAUACCCCGCUGUUCUGACGGUACCCAAAGAAUAAGCACCGGCUAACUUCGUG
rnacentral:rRNA from 1 species